rnacentral:lncRNA from 1 species
GGACCAGCGAUCUGAAAUCCACAGUCUCUUUUUGGUAUCUGCUGUAUCAGAGGAGGCAGAAAGGAGUGAUGAAAAUAUUUGCACCUGGCCGCGUAAAUGCAGAGAGCAGAGACCUUCAGAUGCUCCUGUUGGCAGCUGCAGCUUUGUGUCACAGUGAUGGAGCUGAGCACAGAGCACCCUCCUCAGCUUCUUCUGCCUUAAGACUGCCUGCACUGCUUCAAGAGGUUCUCCCUGCAGAUACAUCAAACUGUGGCCUAAACACCAGGGUCUUUCAUCUUGCAUGACCGGUGGCAGAAACUAAUGGCAGAGGCUGGCCCUCCCCACCACACCUCCAUCAUUCUGCCCCUAGCAGGCUGUCCAGGUUUCCAAACUUGGACACAAAACUGGACAAUCUGACAAAUUUGGACACAAAAAGCGUUGGCAGGAUGCCAAGGUAACUGCAUAACAGUGAAGAUGGUGGGAAAAUGCUUCUCCAAACACCAUACCUUCUACCACAAGCCUGGUUCUUCACCUUUAUUUUUUCAUUUCCCAGCACACAGGAACCAGCUAGACCCAACCUUAACAAAGCACUGCCAGUAUGGUUUUUUAUGAGAAACACAUGUGCCAUAAACAAGACAGCUAAGAGGAAUAAGGAGAAUCUAAGUUAAAAUAUGGAAUCACCCUUAAAUAAGAAAAGCAGCUCACAAAGCAGUAUUACAAAAUAAAUAUGCAAAUUGCAAUGAGAAAAUAAAGAAA